rnacentral:rRNA from 1 species
GAUGAACGCUGGCGGCGUGGGUAAGGCAUGCAAGUCGGGCGGAAAGGCCCCGCAAGGGGUACUCGAGCGGCGAAAGGGAUAGUAACACGUGGGUUACCUACCCUCGGGACUGGGAUAGCUGCGGGAAACUGCAGGUAAUACCGGAUAACGUCUUCGGACCAAAGGUGUGAUUCCGCCUGAGGAGGGGCCCGCGUCCUAUUAGCUAGUUGGCAGGGUAACGGCCUACCAAGGCAAAGAUGGGUAGGGGGUGUGAGAGCAUGACCCCCAUCACUGGGACUGGGAUACGGCCCAGACACCUACGGGUGGCUGCAGUCGAGAAGCUUCGGCAAUGGGCGCAAGCCUGACCGAGCGACGCCGCGUGCGGGAUGAAGGCCCUCGGGUUGUAAACCGCUGUCAGAGGAUUGGAAAUGCUGGGGGGUUCUCCCUUCAGUUUGACUGAUCCUCAGAGGAAGUACGGGCUAAGUUCGUGCCAGCCGCCGCUGUAA